rnacentral:rRNA from 1 species
CAGGUUUACCUGUGUGACUGCGUACCUUUUGUAUAAUGGGUCAGCGACUUAUAUUCUGUAGCAAGGUUAACCGUAUAGGGGAGCCGUAGGGAAACCGAGUCUUAACCGGGCGUUAAGUUGCAGGGUAUAGACCCGAAACCCGGUGAUCUAGCCAUGGGCAGGUUGAAGGUUGGGUAACACUAACUGGAGGACCGAACCGACUAAUGUUGAAAAAUUAGCGGAUGACCUGUGGCUGGGGGUGAAAGGCCAAUCAAACCGGGAGAUAGCUGGUUCUCCCCGAAAGCUAUUUAGGUAGCGCCUCGUGAAUUCAUCUCCGGGGGUAGAGCACUGUUUCGGCUAGGGGGCCAUCCCGGCUUACCAACCCGAUGCAAACUGCGAAUACCGGAGAAUGUUAUCACGGGAGACACACGGCGGGUGCUAACGUCCGUCGUGAAGAGGGAAACAACCCAGACCGCCAGCUAAGGUCCCAAAGUCAUGGUUAAGUGGGAAACGAUGUGGGAAGGCCCAGACAGCCAGGAUGUUGGCUUAGAAGCAGCCAUCAUUUAAAGAAAGCGUAAUAGCUCACUGGUCGAGUCGGCCUGCGCGGAAGAUGUAACGGGGCUAAACCAUGCACCGAAGCUGCGGCAGCGACACUGUGUGUUGUUGGGUAGGGGAGCGUUCUGUAAGCCUGUGAAGGUGGCCUGUGAGGGUUGCUGGAGGUAUCAGAAGUGCGAAUGCUGACAUAAGUAACGAUAAAGCGGGUGAAAAGCCCGCUCGCCGGAAGACCAAGGGUUCCUGUCCAACGUUAAUCGGGGCAGGGUGAGUCGACCCCUAAGGCGAGGCCGAAAGGCGUAGUCGAUGGGAAACGGGUUAAUAUUCCCGUACUUGGUGUUACUGCGAAGGGGGGACGGAGAAGGCUAUGUUGGCCGGGCGACGGUUGUCCCGGUUUAAGCGUGUAGGUGUGUGUUCCAGGUAAAUCCGGUUCACUUUAACACUGAGGCGUGACGACGAGGCACUACGGUGCUGAAGCAACAAAUGCCCUGCUUCCAGGAAAAGCCUCUAAGCAUCAGGUAACAUCAAAUCGUACCCCAAACCGACACAGGUGGUCAGGUAGAGAAUACCAAGGCGCUUGAGAGAACUCGGGUGAAGGAACUAGGCAAAAUGGUGCCGUAACUUCGGGAGAAGGCACGCUGACACGUAGGUGAAGUGAUUUACUCAUGGAGCUGAAGUCAGUCGAAGAUACCAGCUGGCUGCAACUGUUUAUUAAAAACACAGCACUGUGCAAACACGAAAGUGGACGUAUACGGUGUGACGCCUGCCCGGUGCCGGAAGGUUAAUUGAUGGGGUCAGCGCAAGCGAAGCUCCUGAUCGAAGCCCCGGUAAACGGCGGCCGUAACUAUAACGGUCCUAAGGUAGCGAAAUUCCUUGUCGGGUAAGUUCCGACCUGCACGAAUGGCGUAAUGAUGGCCAGGCUGUCUCCACCCGAGACUCAGUGAAAUUGAACUCGCUGUGAAGAUGCAGUGUACCCGCGGCAAGACGGAAAGACCCCGUGAACCUUUACUAUAGCUUGACACUGAACAUUGAGCCUUGAUGUGUAGGAUAGGUGGGAGGCUUUGAAGUGUGGACGCCAGUCUGCAUGGAGCCGACCUUGAAAUACCACCCUUUAAUGUUUGAUGUUCUAACGUGGACCCGUUACCCGGGUUGCGGACAGUGUCUGGUGGGUAGUUUGACUGGGGCGGUCUCCUCCUAAAGAGUAACGGAGGAGCACGAAGGUUGGCUAAUCCUGGUCGGACAUCAGGAGGUUAGUGCAAUGGCAUAAGCCAGCUUGACUGCGAGCGUGACGGCGCGAGCAGGUGCGAAAGCAGGUCAUAGUGAUCCGGUGGUUCUGAAUGGAAGGGCCAUCGCUCAACGGAUAAAAGGUACUCCGGGGAUAACAGGCUGAUACCGCCCAAGAGUUCAUAUCGACGGCGGUGUUUGGCACCUCGAUGUCGGCUCAUCACAUCCUGGGGCUGAAGUAGGUCCCAAGGGUAUGGCUGUUCGCCAUUUAAAGUGGUACGCGAGCUGGGUUUAGAACGUCGUGAGACAGUUCGGUCCCUAUCUGCCGUGGGCGCUGGAGAACUGAGGGGGGCUGCUCCUAGUACGAGAGGACCGGAGUGGACGCAUCACUGGUGUUCGGGUUGUCAUGCCAAUGGCACUGCCCGGUAGCUAAAUGCGGAAGAGAUAAGUGCUGAAAGCAUCUAAGCACGAAACUUGCCCCGA